UACGGAGGGUGCAAGCGUUAUCCGGAUUCACUGGGUUUAAAGGGUGCGUAGGCGUCCUGGAAAGUUACGGUUGAAAUCUCCUUGCUUAACAAGGAAACUGGCCGUAAAACUAUCAGGAUUGAGUACAUUUGAAGCGGGCGGAAUGUGUCAUGUAGCGGUGAAAUGCUUAGAUAUGACACAGAACACCAAUUGCGAAGGCAGCUCGCUAAACUGUAACUGACGCUGAGGCACGAAAGCGUGGGGAUCAAACAGG
rnacentral:rRNA from 1 species